GCCAUCACCAUAAAUUUGUUGGCUUAAAGAGGUCAGCAUUUUGCCCUGUGGCGGGAGGCCGGAUUGAACCGAGUUAUAUUCGAAAUGGCAGAAGAUCGGGUUGGACUAAGUCAUGUUCGAAGUGGCAUCGAGACCCGUGGAUGCUGUGUUUGUAUAUUUAAAUGAAUUGGUUGCAUAUUUCUAACAAUUCGAGCUUUGGAAUGAAUGAUCAGUGCCAACGAUCCGAUAAAAUUGACUUGUCUAGCAAUUGUUUAGUU
rnacentral:lncRNA from 1 species